AGAGUUUGAUCCUGGCUCAGAUUGAACGCUGGCGGCAGGCCUAACACAUGCAAGUCGAGCGGUAGCACAGAGAGCUUGCUCUCGGGUGACGAGCGGCGGACGGGUGAGUAAUGUCUGGGAAACUGCCUGAUGGAGGGGGAUAACUACUGGAAACGGUAGCUAAUACCGCAUAACGUCGCAAGACCAAAGUGGGGGACCUUCGGGCCUCAUGCCAUCAGAUGUGCCCAGAUGGGAUUAGCUAGUAGGUGGGGUAAUGGCUCACCUAGGCGACGAUCCCUAGCUGGUCUGAGAGGAUGACCAGCCACACUGGAACUGAGACACGGUCCAGACUCCUACGGGAGGCAGCAGUGGGGAAUAUUGCACAAUGGGCGCAAGCCUGAUGCAGCCAUGCCGCGUGUAUGAAGAAGGCCAUCGGGUUGUAAAGUACUUUCAGCGAGGAGGAAGGCGUUAAGGUUAAUAACCUUGGCGAUUGACGUUACUCGCAGAAGAAGCACCAGCUAACUCCGUGCCAGCAGCCGCGGUAA
rnacentral:rRNA from 1 species